CGCUUUAUACACAAAGGUGUUCAUCUCAGUGGUCUUUGUAACACCCAAAGAGAAAUAGAAGCAACUGAAACAUCCACUGAGGCUGUAAGUAAACCAUGUUGUGAUAUUAGAGUCACCUGAAACAUACGCAAAGUGUCACCCUGAUAUAUAUAAAAAAAAAAAAAGCUGUGUGAAAAAACACAGGUAAGUGAUAUACUCAUAGCUACAGAAACUCAGCACAGAACCAACUCCUGUACUGUGGCCAGCAGCAGCAGGAGGCAAUGAGGGGCAGGCGGGCAGACGCUGCCACUGUCAGGACCCUUGUGAGACCCAGCACUUCCCACGCUCAGCAGCCUCCUUGAGACACGUCUGUGUGUGCAAGAGGUCAACAAGGGGAAUGGCCUAAACAUUUCUCAGCAAGGAGACCUGCACCCGCUGUCCCACACGGGAGCCACUGACCACCGGCGGCUAUUUCAUGAAAAUUUCAAUGCAACAAAAUUCAACACUCAGUUCUUCGGUGGCAACAGCCACGUGUCAAGUACUCCACAGCCACAUGUGACACGUGGCUACAGCUCAUCCCCCCAGAAAGUCCAUAUGAAAAUGGAGAGGGUAAGAAGACAUGGCUGCGUGAACAGGCAGGCUGCAGAGUGAAAAUCGCAAUGCUUCAUGUAUACGUCAAAGAAGAACAAAGCAACUGUUUCCCCAGGUAACUACAAAUGCCUGAAAUUACACAGGGAAAAGUCUGGAAGGAAAACACCAAAAUAUCCAGUUGAAUAGAGUGGCUAUUCUCCAGUGAGACCCAAACUGGUGGUGCCAAUGAUCAGCGAACUUCCUCUCGGCUCCCGACAUCCUCCUCGAUACGCACUCUGCCACAACGGGCAGGGUCCCUUUCAGCGUCUCAUCCACAGUGAACGGGAGUUGAGGCUUUCUUAGCGGAGGGGCUGGAGGGACACAGCAGGAGGGCAGGAGGGCAGGUGGAGGGACAUGGCAGGAGGGCAGGUGAAGGGACACAGCAGGAGGGCAGGUGGAGGGACACGGCAGGAGGGCAAGUGGAGGGACAUGGCAGGAGGGCAGGAGGGCAGGUGGAGGGACGUGGCAGGAGGGCAGGUGGAGGGACAUGGCAGGAGGGCAGGAGGGCAGGUGGAGGGACGUGGCAGGAGGGCAGGUGGAGGGACAUGGCAGGAGGGCAGGUGGAGGGACACAGCAGGAGGGCAGGUGGAGGGGCAUGGCAGGAGGGCAAGUGGAGGGACAUGGCAGGAGGGCAGGAGGGCAAGUGGAGGGACAUGGCAUGAGGGCAGGAGGGCAAGUGGAGGGACAUGGCACGAGGGCAGGAGGGCAGGUGGAGGGACAUGGCAGGAGGGCAGG
rnacentral:lncRNA from 1 species